rnacentral:lncRNA from 1 species
UCUCAUUCCUCUACACGCAUCCAUCUCUUUUCACUUAUUUUUCUCUCAUUUUCCAUUCAUCAAUUUCCACUUGAGCGAGUAUUUGUAAGGUCUUGAGAGCAGCCAUUUUAGGUAAUAUUGAGAGCUUCUAAGCUUGUUAGUCACGGCAAAAAAAAAGAAUGAAGGAGGAGUAAAGUGAGUAGUGCCACAGAGAACACCUAGAAUCAGCUUCUCUUUCCUUUCAUUCUUUUAUUUUUGUUCAAUUCAAGAAAC